rnacentral:rRNA from 1 species
GAAAGGAGCGAUCCGGACAGGGAUGGGCAUGCGGCGCAUUAGCUGGUCGGCGGGGUAACGGCCCACCGAGGCGACGAUGCGUAGGGGUUCUGAGAGGAAGGCCCCCCACACUGGUACUGAGACACGGACCAGACUCCUACGGGAGGCAGCAGUGAGGAAUAUUGGUCAAUGGGCGGGAGCCUGAACCAGCCAAGCCGCGUGAGGGAAGAAGGUACAGCGUAUCGUAAACCUCUUUUGUCAGGGAACAAAGGCGGGGACUAGUCCCCGGAUGAGGGUACCUGAAGAAAAAGCAUCGGCUAACUCCGUGCCAGCAGCCGCGGUAAUACGGAGGAUGCGAGCGUUAUCCGGAUUUAUUGGGUUUAAAGGGUGCGCAGGCGGCCUGUUAAGUCAGCGGUAAAAGCCCGGGGCUCAACCCCGGCGAGCCGUUGAAACUGGCGGGCUGGAGUUGGAGAGAAGUACGCGGAAUGCGCGGUGUAGCGGUGAAAUGCUUAGAUAUCGCGCAGAACCCCGAUUGCGAAGGCAGCGUACCGGCUCCACACUGACGCUGAGGCACGAAAGCGUGGGUAUCGAACAGGAUUAGAUACCCUGGUAGUCCACGCAGUAAACGAUGAAUGCUUGCUGUCCGGG